rnacentral:rRNA from 4 species
AGAGUUUGAUCAUGGCUCAGAUUGAACGCUGGCGGCAGGCCUAACACAUGCAAGUCGAACGGUAACAGGAAGAAGCUUGCUUCUUUGCUGACGAGUGGCGGACGGG